AGUGGGAUGGCCGAGCGGUUAAAGGCGGCGGACUGUAAAUCCGUUGUUAUUCGUAACACGCGGGUUCAAAUCCCGCUCCCACCA
rnacentral:tRNA from 1 species